rnacentral:rRNA from 1 species
GAUGAACGCUGGCGGCGUGCCUAAUACAUGCAAGUCGAGCGAACAGACGAGGAGCUUGCUCCUCUGACGUUAGCGGCGGACGGGUGAGUAACACGUGGAUAACCUACCUAUAAGACUGGGAUAACUUCGGGAAACCGGAGCUAAUACCGGAUAAUAUAUUGAACCGCAUGGUUCAAUAGUGAAAGACGGUUUUGCUGUCACUUAUAGAUGGAUCCGCGCCGCAUUAGCUAGGUGGUAAGGUAACGGCUUACCAAGGCAACGAUGCGUAGCCGACCUGAGAGGGUGAUCGGCCACACUGGAACUGAGACACCGUCCAGACUCCUAAGGGAGGCAGCAGUAGGGAAUCUUCCGCCAUGGGGGAAAGCCUGACGGAGCCACGCCGCGUGAGUGAUGAAGGUCUUCGGAUCGUAAAACUCUGUUAUUAGGGAAGAACAAAUGUGUAAGUAACUAUGCACGUCUUGACGGUAACUAAUCAGAAAGCCACGGCUAACUACGUG